AGCUCCAAUAGCGUAUAUUAAAGUUGCUGCAGUUAAAAAGCUCGUAGUUGAAUUUGUGGCGCGGCCAUCCGGCGGGGGCUCUUCAUUGAGCCCGUUUGUCCUGGUUUUUGGCCGUUCCUUUCUCGGGUAGCGUGUGGCUGGCAUUAGGUUGUUGGCUGCUUCGCGCCCGUCUUUUACUGUGAAAAAACUAUUUUGUUGGUUUGCACGUUGUGGUAAUGGUUAACAGGAAUAGUUGGGGGUAUUCGUAUUCAAUUGUCAGAGGUGAAAUUCUUGGAUUUGUGGAAGACGAACUACUGCGAAAGCAUUUACCAAGGAUGUUUUCA
rnacentral:rRNA from 1 species